rnacentral:rRNA from 1 species
GACGAACGCUGGCGGCGUGCUUAACACAUGCAAGUCGAACGGAAAGGCCCUGCUUUUGUGGGGUGCUCGAGUGGCGAACGGGUGAGUAACACGUGAGUAACCUGCCCUUGACUUUGGGAUAACUUCAGGAAACUGGGGCUAAUACCGGAUAGGAGCUCCUGCUGCAUGGUGGGGGUUGGAAAGUUUCGGCGGUUGGGGAUGGACUCGCGGCUUAUCAGCUUGUUGGUGGGGUAGUGGCUUACCAAGGCUUUGACGGGUAGCCGGCCUGAGAGGGUGACCGGCCACAUGGGGACUGGGAUACGGCCCAGACUCCUCCGGGGGGCAGCGGUGGGGAUUAUUGCACAAUGGGCGGAGGCCUGAUGCAGCAACCCCGCGUGCGGGAUGACGGCCUUCGGGUGGUAAACCGCUUUCGCCUGUGACGAAGCGUGAGUGACGGUAAUGGGUAAGGAAGCACCGGCUACCUACUU